AUUGAACGCUGGCGACAGGCCUAACACAUGCAAGUAGCACGAGUGGAGGACGGGUGAGUAAUGUCUGGGAAACUGACUGAUGGAGGGGGAUAACUAAUGGAAACGGUAGCUAAUACCGCAUACCAUCAGAUGUGCCCAGUUGGGAUUAGCUUGUUGGUGGGGUAACGGCUAACAAAGGCGACGAUCCCUAGCUGGUCUGAGAGGAUGACCAGCCACACUGGAAUUGAGACACGUUCCAGUCUCCUACGGUAGGCAGCAGUGGGGAAUAUUGCACAAUUGGCGCAAGCCUGAUGCAGCCAUGCCGCGUGUAUGAAGAAGGCCUUCGUGUUGUAAAGUACUUUCAGCGGGGAGGCGUUACCCGCAGAAGAAGCACCGGCUAACUCCGUGCCAGCAGCCGCGGUAAUUC
rnacentral:rRNA from 1 species